AGUGAACGCUGGCGGUAGGCCUAACACAUGCAAGUCGAACGGCAGCACAGUAAGAGCUUGCUCUUACGGGUGGCGAGUGGCGGACGGGUGAGGAAUACAUCGGAAUCUACUUUUUCGUGGGGGAUAACGUAGGGAAACUUACGCUAAUACCGCAUACGACCUACGGGUGAAAGCAGGGGAUCUUCGGACCUUGCGCGAUUGAAUGAGCCGAUGUCGGAUUAGCUAGUUGGCGGGGUAAAGGCCCACCAAGGCGACGAUCCGUAGCUGGUCUGAGAGGAUGAUCAGCCACACUGGAACUGAGACACGGUCCAGACUCCUACGGGAGGCAGCAGUGGGGAAUAUUGGACAAUAGGCGCAAGCCUGAUCCAGCCAUACCGCGUGGGUGAAGAAGGCCUUCGGGUUGUAAAGCCCUCUUUGUUGGGAAAGAAAAGCAGCAGGUUAAUACCCCGCUGUUCUGACGGUACCCAAAGAAUAAGCACCGGCUAACUUCGUG
rnacentral:rRNA from 1 species